UACGGAGGGUGCAAGCGUUAUCCGGAUUUACUGGGCGUAAAGGGAGCGUAGGCGGAUAGUUUAGUCAGAGGUGAAAGCCCAGGGCUCAACCUUGGAAUUGCCUUUGAUACUGGCUAUCUUGAGUACGGAAGAGGUAUGUGGAACUCCGAGUGUAGAGGUGAAAUUCGUAGAUAUUCGGAAGAACACCAGUGGCGAAGGCGACAUACUGGUCCGUUACUGACGCUGAGGCUCGAAAGCGUGGGGAGCAAACAGG
rnacentral:rRNA from 1 species